rnacentral:misc_RNA from 1 species
UCUCCGUAGGUGAACCUGCGGAGGGAUCAUUACUGAGUGAGGGCUCCGGCCCGACCUCCAACCCCAUGUGAACCAAAACCUGUUGCUUCGGGGGCGACCCUGCCGUUUCGACGGCGAGCGCCCCCGGAGGCCUUCAAACACUGCAUCUUUGCGUCGGAGUUUAAGUAAAUUAAACAAAACUUUCAACAACGGAUCUCUUGGUUCUGGCAUCGAUGAAGAACGCAGC